rnacentral:rRNA from 1 species
GCGUCUGGAAAGGCGCGCGAUACAGGGUGACAGCCCCGUACACAAAAAUGCACAUGCUGUGAGCUCGAUGAGUAGGGCGGGACACGUGGUAUCCUGUCUGAAUAUGGGGGGACCAUCCUCCAAGGCUAAAUACUCCUGACUGACCGAUAGUGAACCAGUACCGUGAGGGAAAGGCGAAAAGAACCCCGGCGAGGGGAGUGAAAAAGAACCUGAAACCGUGUACGUACAAGCAGUGGGAGCACAGAGCAAUCUGUGUGACUGCGUACCUUUUGUAUAAUGGGUCAGCGACUUAUAUUCUGUAGCAAGGUUAACCGAAUAGGGGAGCCGAAGGGAAACCGAGUCUUAACUGGGCGUUAAGUUGCAGGGUAUAGACCCGAAACCCGGUGAUCUAGCCAUGGGCAGGUUGAAGGUUGGGUAACACUAACUGGAGGACCGAACCGACUAAUGUUGAAAAAUUAGCGGAUGACUUGUGGCUGGGGGUGAAAGGCCAAUCAAACCGGGAGAUAGCUGGUUCUCCCCGAAAGCUAUUUAGGUAGCGCCUCGUGAAUUCAUCUCCGGGGGUAGAGCACUGUUUCGGCAAGGGGGUCAUCCCGACUUACCAACCCGAUGCAAACUGCGAAUACCGGAGAAUGUUAUCACGGGAGACACACGGCGGGUGCUAACGUCCGUCGUGAAGAGGGAAACAACCCAGACCGCCAGCUAAGGUCCCAAAGUCAUGGUUAAGUGGGAAACGAUGUGGGAAGGCCCAGACAGCCAGGAUGUUGGCUUAGAAGCAGCCAUCAUUUAAAGAAAGCGUAAUAGCUCACUGGUCGAGUCGGCCUGCGCGGAAGAUGUAACGGGGCUAAACCAUGCACCGAAGCUGCGGCAGCGACGCUUAUGCGUUGUUGGGUA